UAACACGGGGGGAGCAAGCGUUGUUCGGAAUCACUGGGCGUAAAGGGCGUGUAGGCGGUCAAGUAAGUGGAAUGUGAAAUCCCUCGGCUUACCCGAGGACCUGCAUCCCAAACUGCUUGGCUUGAGUACGGGAGAGGAUGUGGGAAUUCCUGGUGUAGCGGUGAAAUGCGUAGAUAUCAGGAGGAACACCGGUGGCGAAGGCGCACAUCUGGCCCGAUACUGACGCUGAGGCGCGAAAGCUAGGGGAGCAAACGGGAUUAGAUACCCCGGUAGUCCUAGCCGUAAACGGUGAGCACUAGGUGUUGGAGGCAUCGACCCCUCCAGUGCCGCAGCUAACGCAUUAAGUGCUCCGCCUGGGGAGUACGGCCGCAAGGUUG
rnacentral:rRNA from 1 species